UGAGUGGUGAUUGGUAACUGAUUGUAUUGGUGCUGUGUGGUGAUUGGUAAUUGAUUGUAUUACUGGUGAGUGGUAACUGGUAAUGCCAGUGAGAGCGGGUUCGCACUGUCCUGCACAGGCGGUGCACAUCACGGCGACUAUGAAACCACGAGCUGACAAUCUAUUCCCGGCCCAGGACACGAAGACGAGUGCUACCUUGAAGACUUCCAGAGCUACUUGCAAGUUGGGGCCACGAAGUACUUAAGACAGUGCGCGGUAUUUAGAUGUCGCAUGGUGAAUGACGAACUUUCUUUAACAUACCAGACAUGCGGCAGGGUGGCCCCCAAACCCGACACCUCAUGCACCGAUGUCCCGGUCAGCCGUUUCGCCGUGUACCCGGAAUGUUGCCUAAAGAGAUAUAAUUGCGAGGUGCUGGGGUAAGCCCUGCCAAUGAGACUGUGCUGUGUCAUAGACUAACCACCAUAGCUUCGCAACGGCAGGUGGCUCCCAUAGGCAUGUCGAAGCGACUGUGCUCUUCGGGGCGCGGGCAUGCACGCCACAUUUUCGGAAGGCUCAUCGUGUGAUGACCAGUGUUUGCGAGCAUGAAGGUAGGAUAGUACGACUAUACACAUCUGGCGCUAACAAAAAUACAUUGAAAACGCCCUGA